GCCAGAAGCUGUAUCACCCUGCAACUCAAAACUGGGAACUUACUGAGGCUAAGCAGGGGUGAACCUGGCCAGUACUUGAAUGGGAGACCUCGUGGGGAAAGCUAAGGUUGCUGCUGGAA
rnacentral:rRNA from 1 species